rnacentral:tRNA from 1 species
AAGAAAUUAGUUUAAAAUAAAAACAUUAACUUGUCAAGUUAAAGAUAUUAUUGAUAUUUCUUA